rnacentral:rRNA from 1 species
AUUGCACGCUGGCGGCAGGCCUAACACAUGCAAGUCGAACGAGUGGCGGAAGGGUGAGUAAUGUCUGGGAAACUGCCCGAUGGAGGGGGAUAACUACUGGAAACGGUAGCUAAUGACGCAUACCAUCGGAUGUGCCCAGAUGGGAUUAGCUAGUAGGUGGGGUAACGGCUUACUUAGGCGACGAUCCCUAGCUGGUCUGAGAGGAUGACCAGCCACACUGGAACUGAUACACGGUCCAGACUCAUACGGGAGGCAGCAGUGGGGAAUAUUGCACAAUGGGCGCAAGCCUGAUGCAGCCAGGCCGCUUGUAUGAAGAAGGCCUUCGGGUUGUAAAGUACUGUCAGCGGGGAGGCGUUACCCGCAGAAGAAGCACCGGCUAACUCCGUGCCAGCAGCCGCGGUAAUUC